rnacentral:misc_RNA from 1 species
CCCAUCAAUCCCUUUUGAAGGGCCCUACAUUCCUACCAUCCAAAAGAGAAAUAGAUACAGAGAAUUCUCAGUACUAAUAGUUAUAGCCAUUCUCCACUAACCCCACCACAGAUAUUGAAAACAGGAGGACAUCAAUGGAGCUUUUGAAUACUUUGGCUUGCCUUGACCAUAGCACAUAGCAUCAAGUGCCCGUGAUUUUUUCUUCCUUGACAUGAAAAUGACGACUCCUUUGACAAAACUUGAGAAAAGAGAAUGAACAGUUGCACCGAGUGAAUUGAUUUUUAUUUUUUUUUUAUUUUUUUUAUUGUUUUCG